CCUGAACCGGCCAUUGUGGUCUGAAGUAGAGAAGAGCUUAGGAGAAGGGCCACAAGCACAAGAACUGCAAAUACUAUCUUCAUCUAUAUUACUAUGUGUGUGUGUGUGUGUGUGUUAAGAACUAAGAAAUUGAGUCAAUAUACAUGGAAUGAAGAAGGAAAUGCAAAUGGUGCUGAACUCUAGUGGGGGUAUAUAUGGUGUGGGACGGUUGGUGAAGGCAUAAAAAAUUGUUCUAAG
rnacentral:lncRNA from 1 species